GGGGAUGUGGCUCAGUGGUAGAGCACUUGCCUAGCAAGCACAAGGCCCUGGAUAUCAUCCCCA
rnacentral:tRNA from 1 species